rnacentral:sRNA from 1 species
ACGAUCUGCGAGACGGCGACCCCGGUCGCGUUGAUCUCACGAUCGAUCAGGAAG